CCUCCCCGCCGCGCCCGCACUCCCUGGCCCGCCAGCCAACAGCGCCCCACGAGAGCCGCAGCCCCCAGCCUGGCCAAUAGCAGGUUUGAUGCAGACAGAUGGGAGGCUCCUCCAGAGGAGCUAGGAUCACUUCAGGAAAUUAUGGGCUGGGGGGCUUCUUACUCUCAUCAGGGGAGCUGAAGUGUGGUCAGGCGGAUGCACACAUCCUCACCAGGCUCAAGACUCCACCUCACCCAGCCUUGGACCAGGAGGUGAGGCUGCAAGCACAGAGCAGGGAGGGGAGGCCAGAGACCCCUCCCCACAGCCAAGCCAGCUCAGAGGCAAGGUCCCGAGGCUCCAGCCACUGGAUUCUUCCAGAUAAAGGAUGGGGAAGACCUGAGCUGGAGGUCAGAAGGCCCACAGGAGCCCUUUCCUACACGUCCGGCACAACACUGCCCCAGGAGACAGGCCCUCAGCCAAGCAUGGGGGGCCCCCCAGCCUUGAGUGCAAGUCAGGGUGCAGAGACACUGCCCUGGCACCAGCUUCUCCCACCCCCAUCGCCCCCACCCCUGCUGCUAAGCACAAUGACAGUGGUGACUUCCUGAAGAGAUCACACGGAAAAGUGCCUCCUCAACAGAUUUUGCCCUCCGCAGAAGGCCUGAACUCAGCACAAGUGCAAGCCAUCGCCUCCUAUCAAAGGUGCGCCGGGGGGUGGGGGAGGGGCAGCCCUGAGCACAGCCAGUGCGUUCCAGGCUCCUGGCCUGGCCUCUGGACCUGGGCUGAGAGGGACCAUGCAGGGAUCCCAGGAGCUGGACUGAGGAGAAGCUGCCCCCGCCCUCCUCCAGCCCUCAAGGCUGGCCAGAGCUGGGGCCUGUCAUGCACCCUCUGCUCCCACAGAGGCUAAUAAGCCCACCUCACGCAGGAGGCACAGAUGGUCACGGCUCCGCAACCUGCGAGGGUACCUAGGCCACCCAUUCACACUGAGAGCCAGGAAAGGGAGGGAGAUUUGGGAGCUCCGUCUCCUUUGGCUAAAGUAGAAACUCCCGUGCCUGAACACAGACAGCCCCACCUGGCUGCAAAGCCCAGCGGCCGAAACUCCCCGGCAGUCAUGGCCUCUGCUCCAUAAGCUCUCAGCUCCUGAAAGUCACUCUUUGAACAGAACCUAAAACUUAGUUUCCACUGAUGCAUAAGUGACUGAGAAGAUGUACAUAAAUGGGCCGGGUGCGGUGGCUCAUGCCUGUAAUCCCAGCACUUUGGGAGGCCGAGGUGGGUGGAUCACGAGGUCAGGAGAUCAAGACCAUCCUGGCUAACACGGUGAAACCCCGUCUCUACUAAAAGUACAAAAAAUUAGCCGGGCGUCGUGGUGGGCGCCUGUAGUCCCAGCUACUCGGGAGGCUGAGGCAGGAGAACGGCGUGAACCCGGGAGGCAGAGCUUGCAGUGAGCUGAGAUCGCGCCACUGCACUCCAGCCUGGGCAAAAGAGCGAGACUCCGUCUCAAAAAAAAAAAAAAAAGA